CCGUUGGGGCUCCGGCCCCAAUCAAGAUACCACCCCUUGCAUUGUGAGCACCUUCUGUUUCCUCGGCGGGCCCGCCCGCCAACGGGGACCACACCAAACCCUUCUGUACUGCAGUAAGCGUCUGAAAACAAACAAAAAUCA
rnacentral:misc_RNA from 1 species